rnacentral:rRNA from 1 species
GUAAUACGUAGGGGGCAAGCGUUGUCCGGAUUUAUUGGGCGUAAAGAGCGUGUAGGCGGCCAGGUAGGUCUGCUGUUAAAACUCGAGGCUCAACCUCGAGAGGUCGGUGGAAACCAUCUGGCUAGAGUCCGGAAGAGGAGAGUGGAAUUCCCGGUGUAGCGGUGAAAUGCGCAGAUAUCGGGAAGAACACCUAUGGCGAAGGCAGCUCUCUGGGACGGUACUGACGCUGAGACGCGAAAGCGUGGGGAGCGAACAGGAUUAGAUACCCUGGUAGUCCACGCCGUAAACGAUGGGUGCUAGGUGUGGGCGGUGUCGACUCCGUCCGUGCCGAAGCUAACGCAUUAAGCACCCCGCCUGGGGAGUACGGCCGCAAGGCUAAAACUCAAAGGAAUUGACGGAAUCGA